rnacentral:tRNA from 1 species
CCCGCCGUAGCUCAGCUGGCAGAGCGUCCGGCUGUAGACCGGAUGGUCCCCGGUUCAAAUCCGGGCGGCGGGA